GGGGGGGGGCACAGGUGAUAAUUUACAGGAAUAUUUAGCAGUGGAGAAAUGCAAACCAUAAUUGUUUCUGUCUGCUAGAGAUGUUGGGGCUGGGCCCCUGUAGUAGAGAAGGGUGAUAUAAAGCACUUAUUUGAAGCAGGCACAUGGUCUUUUCAAGCUAUAAUAGAACUGUGUUUACAAAGUAUUUCAAGGCCUGCCCUCCAGUCUGUCCAAAGGGCACAGGUCUUUAUUAUCAGAGCCUAGAUGUCUCGCUAGAGCUUUGGCUUUCAGCUGAGCAUGGUCUGUGCAGAAACCACAAACACUGAAAGAAGCCUAAGACAAAACCUGCUAGAUGGGUACAGUUAUCUAAUACAACCGGAACAGCAGAUAAACCUCCAAUUAUAUUUGGGUAAAGACCCGCUGGCCUUCAGAGCUGUUUAAAAUGGAUUCAAGAGUUUUGAACACCACUUAGGGGUCCUAAUUUAAAACGGCCUGGACUGUAUACAAUUCACAUUCCCAACAACCAUGGCAAAUAGUGAACAAAUAUUCAUUUAAAUAAGAGGCUCCAACAGUGCCUAAAUACAUGAAAAGACAAAAAGACACACAGAGGAGUUUGUGAUCUUACCUUCAAGUUGCUGCCGGUGAUCAGGAGUAGUAAAAUUGUCUUCCAGUGUCUGGCAAACUGUCCUUACAUACCUUGAAAUACCAAAAGCAGAAACUGCAAAGACGGUAGAAGCUGGCCUACUUAACACUCAACAAACUUUGUUUAAAAAUGGACUCUCUGGGAGAGGGAGAGGGUGGGAUGAUUUGGGAGAAUGGCAUUGAAACGUAUACUAUCAUCGAUGAACUCAUUCCGUAUGACUUAAAACUUACCCUGUAUCUAUCCAGCUAGGCUCUUGAAUUGGGUCUAGAGUAUUGGUCCCAAAACCUCUGCACUACAAAUGGCAACUUCAUUUGUAACAAAAAACAUACUCAGCACCAUAAGAAUGAAAAUGUAAAUGAAGAUAGCAGGUUCCCUACCGAUCAAAUUGGGUCACUUUUUCCUUUUCAUGUUUUCCAAACAUAAUAGCCAUGGUUAGUAAAGGACCAGAUUAUCAAUGUCUGCUAAAACCUCUAAGUGAAACAUGGUUGGUACAGAGAAAAGCCCAUGUUUAUGAGUUUUGGCUGUUGUAUCCUCACCACAGACUUUAAGUUAGCAACACUAAUAGGAGGACACGUAGGGAAAACAAAUCCGAGAUGUAGGACACUGUUAGGAGAUGCACGCUGAUGUUUUUAGGGGUUAGGUAUAAGAUACAAGCACCCAUUUUACAUAAAAUAUGGGGAAAUACUGUUGAGUCUGCCCAACUAGCUUGCUUCAGGGAUGGCUGUGGAAGCAUCCUUUAUACUAACUCCAAAUUAGAAUCUCAGUGUUUAGCAGGGUAGUUGGUAUUAAAUAAACUGGUUACAAACAUACAGUGAACAACUACGGAAAAUUCGUAAUAGACAAGCUAUGACAUGGCAAGGUUUUGUGAAAAUUCAGACCCAUCUUUUAAGGCCUAGUUCUAGCUCUUGCCUGAGCUGCUCUUAAUCAAGGCUACAUCACCCCUUUUUCCCCCACUUGCCAUUGCACACUUACCACCGUCAUUGCUGGCUGUCAACUCUACUGUAAGCUUGCCAAGGGUAGGUAGGUCCCUGUUUUUUCAUAAGGACUGAUAAAAGUAGAGGUCAGCCUAACGUAAGGAAGAACAAAAUAUCAAAGUAGGAGAGGUGGGUAGCAAGGUCUUUAUCAGUGUUCAGUCACCUGUGGGAAUACUGUGGUACAGUGAGGGGAAGGAGGACGUUUAAAAAAGCCACGAGUCUGAGUGUUUAAGGCAGAAGCACUAGACUAAGCACUCUCUGUACGCCAUCUCAUGUGUUCCUCCCUUGCUAAGUAGAUACCAAAUCGGUUUACGUUGAUGAGAAAAGCCCAGACAGGUUAACUAACUUGCCCAUGGUCACAAAGCAGACCAGAGAGCCAGGAUUUGAAUUAGCAGUCAUAUUUCAGCAUGCAGAGUAGUAGUCCUUUUGGAGUGGCACAGG
ensembl:lncRNA